rnacentral:rRNA from 1 species
GAUGAACGCUGGCGGCGUGCCUAAUACAUGCAAGUCGAGCGAACGGACGAGAAGCUUGCUUUUCUGCUGUUACCGGCGGACGGGUGAGUAACACGUGGAUAACCUACCUAUAAGACUGGGAUAACUUCGCGAACCCGAAGCUAAUACCGGAUAAUAUUUUGAACCGCAUGGUUCAACAGUGAAAGACGGUCUUGCUGUCCCUUAUAGAUGGAUCCGCGCUGCAUUAGCUAGUUGGUAAGGUAACGGCUUACCAAGGCAACGAUGCAUAGCCGACCUGAGAGGGUGAUCGGUCACACUGGAACUGAGACACGGUCCAGACUCCUACGGGAGGCAGCAGUGGGGAAUCUUCCGCAAUGGGCGAAAGCCUGACGGAGCAACGCCGCGUGAGUGAUGAAGGUCUUCGGAUCGUAAAACUCUGUUAGUAGGGAAGAACAGAUGUGUAAGUAACUGUGCACAUCUUGACGGUACCUAAUCAGAAAGCCACGGCUAACUACGUG